AUGAUUUCAGUUCCCUUCUUCCUUCCUGCACGUCAGACAGUGUUUGAAGGAAGGAGUCUACCCUUUGGCAUAGUUCACCUUGACACCAGGAACACGAGUGCUCAUCCUGAGCCCCUUGGUGCCUGUCUACCCCCAUGUGCCUGGUACUCCUUCCUUGGGGACGUCAGUCUCCUGGAUGAUGUUGUUCUACUUGACCUGCCGGUGUCGUCCAUGAAUCCUUUCAGGGAUUGGCGGGUACGUUUAGCGGGUAGGAGCCUCUUGUCUCUCCCCCACCUCCGUUGCUUCGGAGGGACCAGUGGCAGCUGCUGGGGUUGUGCUGAUCGUUUGGUCCAGAUCAUCAGCACCGCUCUGAGCCUGCCUUCCAGUGACUGAAGUUUUAAGACAACUGUUCAUUCAUGCGUGCUUCAACUCCAGUUUGUCAGCAAAGCAGAAUAGAAGAUCAGUCCACGAGAAGUCACGAGAGUCAUUUCCUUGCUAACAGUCAAGAAAGUGAUUUUCAACAUGCUUGUUGUGCUUCUGAGAGAAUGCAAAAGAAGAUGGGAAGAACACAGGCUUCCUAGAUGGGUCACUGGCUGGCAAAGUUGGAUUUUAGCCACACAAUGUGUUCAUAGUUGACCUAUUUCAGUACAUCACACAUAUGGGUUUCAAUAACCAAGGAUAAACAGGGCAGAAUGCAAUAAUGAUGACAGCUCAUUCAACUGAGAAAUCUUCAGGCACAGGUUUUUCUUAAUCCUACAAUCCUAUAUUAAACUGUAGCCGAGAGCUCAUCAGAGGCUCCCGGUCAUGUUUAUGGCCCUGGAUUUCUAAUCUGUCCACCUCUGCUCUGCCUUAAGAUCUCAGGUGACCAGGUCUCCCCAGGUCUCAAGGGCCUGUCACAUGCCAUAUUACCUUCCUGUAUAUUUUGACAAUUCUAUCUAAAUUCUUCAGUGAUCUCUCUUAAGAUAAAACCCUAACUAACAUGUUUCAAUGAUACAGGGGCACUCUUAGGUUAACAAACACCUUCAAAAAUAAUAGUGGCUCUCUGCUGGGGACUGGGGACUGGAUACUAAGCACUACUGAAUCAUCCCUUUUAAUCUUCAGAGCACCCACAUUUCAAAUUUCCCUUUCACAGGUGAAGAAAUGGGGGUUCUACAAGUUUAAGUGCCUUGCCCAAAGUUACAUGGCUGUAAAGAAGCUGAACCAUGAUUUAAAUCCAGAACUCUUGAAUUUCAAAAUCAGUGGCCUUAAUUACUCUUCAUUUGUUUACUUGAUUAUUGUCUGUCUCUGCCUGUCAACUAUUGUGCUCUCAAGAUACAGGAUAAAUAGCCAACAUCAACUGUUGAUGUAUAUCCAUAGAAAAUGAAUCAUUCUAAUAAAUAUGUUCAUCACAGCA
rnacentral:lncRNA from 13 species